rnacentral:rRNA from 1 species
GAUGAACGCUAGCGGGAUGCUAAUACAUGCAAGUCGAGGGGCAGCAUGGGGCUUCGGCCCUGAUGGCGACUGGCGCACGGGUGAGUAACGCGUACGAAACCUGCCUCCAAGCGGGGAAUAGCCCCCGGAAACUGGGAUUAAUGCCCCAUAGCUCUGCACUGCCGGCUGGCAGAGCAGUUAAAGCUGCGGCGCUUGGAGAUCGUCGUGCGUCCCAUUAGCUAGGUUAGCGUGGUAACGGCCCACCAAGGCGACGAUUGGUAGGGGGCGUGAGAUCGUGCCCCCCAUACGGGUACUGAGACACGGACACUACUCCUACAGGAAGCAGUAGUAAAGAAUAUUGGACAAUGGGGGCCACCCUGAUCCAACCAUCCCUCGUGCAUGAUGACGGUCCUACGGGUUGUAAACUGCUUUUGCGAGGGAAGAAACGACGCUAUUCGUAGUGUUUUGACGGUUCCUCGAGAAUCAGCACCGGCUAACUCCGUGCCAGGCACCCGCGGUAUUCCGGAGGGUGCGAGCGUUAUCCGGAAUCACUGGGUCUAAAGGGUGCGUAUGCGGCAUGGUAAGUCAGAUGUGAGAGGCCGUCGCUCACUGAUGGACUUGCCUUUGAUACUGUCAUGCUUGAUUCCCGUUGUGGCCGGCGGAUUGUGGCAUGUCGCGGUGAACUGCAUAGAUGUGCCAUAGAUCACCGAUUGCGACUGCCGCUGGCUGGGCUUAGAUUGACGCUGAGGCACGAAAGCGUGAGGAGCGAACAGGAUUAGAUACCCUGGUAGUCCACGCCAUCAACGAUGUUUACUCGGCCUUGGCACAUAGGGGCCAGGACCCAAGCGUAAGCGUUAAGGCAACCACCUGGGGAAUACCUCGGCAACGAUGAAAAUCCAAGGAAUUGACGGGGGUCCGCACAAACGAUGGAGACAUGUGGGUUAAAUCGAUGAUACGCGAGGAACCUUACCUAGGCUAGAACACGAGCGCCACCCCGGGAAACCGGGGGUUCGUUCGGUACGCGAAGCAAGAUACUGCAUGGAUGUCGUCAGCUCGGGCCCGUGAGGUAUUGGGUUAAGUCACGCAACGAUGGGCAACCCAUGUUUCCAGUUGCCAGCGCUUGAACAUGAGGACUCUGGAAAGACUGCCGGCGCAAACCGCGAGGAAGAUGGGGAUGACGUCAAGUCAUCAUGGCC